AACGAACGCUGGCGACAGGCCUAACACAUGCAAGUCGAGCGCCCCGCAAGGGGAGCGGCGGACGGGUGAGUAACGCGUGGGAACGUGCCCUUUGCUACGGAAUAGCCCCGGGAAACUGGGAGUAAUACCGUAUAAGCCCUACGGGGGAAAGAUUUAUCGGCAAAGGAUCGGCCCGCGUUGGAUUAGGUAGUUGGUGGGGUAAUGGCCUACCAAGCCGACGAUCCGUAGCUGGUUUGAGAGGAUGAUCAGCCACACUGGGACUGAGACACGGCCCAGACUCCUACGGGAGGCAGCAGUGGGGAAUCUUAGACAAUGGGCGCAAGCCUGAUCUAGCCAUGCCGCGUGAGCGAUGAAGGCCUUAGGGUUGUAAAGCUCUUUCGUGGGGGAAGAUAAUGACUGUACCCCAAGAAGAAGCCCCGGCUAACUCCGUGCCAGCCGCCGCAGUAAUAC
rnacentral:rRNA from 1 species